CUCUGUGACUCCUACGGGAGGCAGCAGUGGGAAUAUGCACAAUGGGGAAACCCUGAUGCAGCCAUGCCGCGUGUGUGAAGAAGGCCUUCGGGUUGUAAAGCACUUUCAGUAGGGAGAAGGUAGUGUAGUUAACACCUGCAUUAUUUGACGUUACCUACAGAAGAAGCACCGGCUAACUCCGUGCCAGCAGCCGCGGUAAUACGGAGGGUGCGAGCGUUAAUCGGAAUUACUGGGCGUAAAGCGCAUGCAGGCGGCCUGUUAAGUCAGAUGUGAAAGCCCGGGGCUUAACCUCGGAAUUGCAUUUGAAACUGGCAGGCUAGAGUCUUGUAGAGGGGGUAGAAUUUCAGGUGUAGCGGUGAAAUGCGUAGAGAUCUGAAGGAAUACCAGUGGCGAAGGCGGCCCCCUGGACAAAGACUGACGCUCAGAUGCGAAAGCGUGGGGAGCAAACAGGAUUAGAUACCCUGGUAG
rnacentral:rRNA from 1 species